GAGCCCCCUCCCAUCCCUGGGAUGAGACAAAAGCCACAUCGGCCACCCAUCUACUGGCUCAGAGGGGGAGCACAGUUUAGGGUCACUGUCUUUCCCCAAUUCUGCAUUCCCAAUGCGGAGACCUUCUUUUCUUUUUUAUUAUUGCAUUCCUGUCCCUGACCACUGAGAAGGUAGGUAUCCCAGCUCCGCUGUGCGCUCUCGCUCCCAUCUCCAGAUAAGCCCCGCCACUUUGCUUGGUUUGAAUGUGGUUUUCUUUCUCUCUCUUUCUCUCGAUCUUGCCCUGGUUGGUUUCAUCUUCCUCCCUUUUCUUUCUUUAUUUUAGUGACUACUCAUUUGUAACUUGCACUUUCUUCAAAUGAGCUACAAAGCUAUGUUUCCUGGUUUGUCGUUUGGUUUUCUUGACUUUCCCCGACCAACUUUUCUAGCCCAUCUCCCCCCCUUCUCCAGCUUCCCUGUUCCCUCCUUCUUCCUCGCCAUCCCUGACUUCCACCCCUAAAUCCUCCUUCACGCCUUCUUUCUCAUUCUGUUGUCCGAAUGCAUUUCUGUGUGGUUUAGCAUUCCAAGUUUGUGUUUCUUUCCUGAACUGUAUGCUGCAGUGAAGCCAAUUUGAUUUCUGUUGUCUGGAGUAGCUGCGAAGCCCCUCCUCACCCUUCAUCCCUGCCAGCCCCUGGGACUUCGGUCACCCCGCUGGCCUUCAGGGCCCUUUCGGGCAAUAGGCAGUGGCAGAGGAGCCAUUGUGGGGCCUCUUGGCCUCCAGAUCCUGGAGGAAGUUCUGGCCAAGGUCAGGCACAAGGGAAAAGCCCCAUCCCAUCCUCGGGGGCCUACUGAGCCAAAGGGAACUCUGCGCUUCCUCGAAUCCUUCCCUGGCUGCAGGACGGAGCUUUGGGGUGGGAGCUGCAGGGCUCUGGAGGAGAAACGGGCACCAGGACUGAGCCUCCAGCUUCCAUCUAUUGGGUGCGAUAGUAGAUUCAUUUGGGGUGGCAGUGGGCAGGGCAGUGAGCUGGCCAGGAGCAGGUUUGAAACCUAGAGGGCCUACUUAGCAAAGUCUCUGUGAGGUAAUUUACAGGUAAUUUACCUGCCUGCUGCCUGGUCCAUGAUCCAACCCAGACAGGGCUCCUUCCACCCUCAGCAUCCUUCCAUCUUCUGAAUUUGAACAGCUUAAUGUGGACCCUCAGAGCAGAAGGAUCCCAAAAGAACAAUCAGCAGAGGCUAGGGGCCCACAGGAUGCUGCAGCAGAACCAGGACUAGGUCCUGGGACUUGUGACUCUCAGCCCAGGGCUCAUCCAGCCACACUGAGGGUACUAGAGUUGGAGGUGGACCCUAGGGGACCCCACCUCCGCACCCCUGCCUAUUAAACUGUUUCCUUUCCCACCUGGGAGCAGCUAGAGAAAUGUGGCAUUCUGGCCAGGUGCGGUGACUCACGCCUGUAAUCCCAGCACUUUGGGAGGCCGAGGUGGGCGGAUCACUUGCGGUCUGGAGUUCGAGAUCAGCCUGGCCAACAUGGCAAAACCCCGUCUCUCCUAAAAAUACAAAAAUUAGCUGGGCAUGGUGGUGCACGCCUGUAAUCCCAGCUACUCGGGAGGCUGAGGCAGGAGAAUCGCUUGAACCCGGAAGGCGGAGGCUGCAGUGAGCCUAGAUCGUGCCUCUGCACUCCAGCAUGGGCGACAGAAUGAGACUCCGUCUCAAAAAAAAAAAAAA
ensembl:lncRNA